AUGGGGUUCAGGUCUGGUGAGUUUUCUGGCCAGUCAAGCACACCAACACCAUGGUCAUUUAACCAACUUUUGGUGCUUUUGGCAGUGUGGGCAGGUGUGUGUGGAUGUUGUGGUCCUCUGCGGCCACGCUACAAGCGUCUAGUGGACAACAUUUUCCCAGAGGACCCCAAGGAUGGACUGGUGAAAUCCGAUAUGGAAAAGUUGACUUUUUAUGCAGUGUCCGCACCAGAGAAGCUGGACCGUAUCGGAGCGUACCUGGCCGAACGCCUCAGCAGAGAUGUGGUACGACAUCGCUACGGGUACGUGGUAAUAGCAAUGGAGGCGUUGGAUCAGUUGUUGAUGGCAUGUCAUUCCCAGAGUAUCAAGCCGUUUGUGGAGAGCUUCUUACACAUGGUAGCCAAACUGCUGGAAUCCAGAGAACCCGAUUUACAAGUGCUGGGAACCAACUCCUUUGUGAAGUUUGCAAACAUUGAGGAGGAUACGCCAUCUUACCAUCGCAGAUAUGACUUUUUCGUCUCUCAGUUCAGUGCCAUGUGUCACUCCACACACGAGGACCCCGAAACUCGCAACAGGAUCCGUGUAGCAGGCAUUAAGGGUCUCCAGGGUGUCGUCAGAAAGACUGUGAAUGAUGAACUCCAGGCAAUCAUCUGGGAACCUCAACACAUGGAUAAACUCAUCCCCUCCAUGCUGUUCAACAUGCAAGAUAAUGAGGACUCCGAGAGGUACAUAAUUUUUUAUUUAGAAAAGGGUCAAUUCAGCAUAUUUAAAUAUGGCAGUUUUCAAAAUGUAAUAACAUACAACCAUCGUCUGUGGGACCCGAAUGAUUUUGCUGUUUCCUGUUUCAGGAUAAUCAUGUACUCAAUACAGGCCCAGCAUUCUCACCAUGUGAUCCAGCAAGUGUUGUCUCACCUUGACACCCACAGUAAGAACACCCCGCGUGUGAGGGCAGGUAUCGUUCAGGUGCUGCUGGAGACGGUUGCCAUAGCAGCCAAGGGCUCCAUCGGUCCCACGGUCCUGGAGGUGUUUAACACCCUGCUAAAGCAUCUGCGUAUGAGUGUGGAUUUUGAGCUGGGCGACGGUUCCCGCAGGAACUCCGCGAGCAGCCUUUCCUCCACCCGCACCAAAGAGAGCGAGGAGCGGAUCGUCCAGAAUGCUAUCAUCCAAACCAUUGGUUUCUUUGGAGGAAAUCUUCCUGAUUAUCAGAGAGCUGAAGUGAUGAUGUUCGUUAUGGGGAAAGUUCCUGUUUACGGCACGCCGUGUCACACGCUGGACACCGUCAAGAUUGGUCUAAUUCCUAGUCAUAAUAGGAUGGUUACGUCAGGGUUUAAGUGUAAAACGAUUUGUGCUGGCCUGCCCAUGGCGUUUCUGGAGCCAUUAUGCUCUAUCUCUUUGAUGGAAGACAGUGAACUACGGCAGCUCGUCUUGGAGAUUUUGCACAACAUCAUUGAUCGCCAUGACAACAGAGCCAAACUCAGAGGGAUCCGGAUUAUUCCUAAUGUAGCCGCUCUGAAGAUCAAGAGAGAGAAAAUCUCCAAACAGGAUGUGGUUUUCAUGAAAAAGCAUGGGCAGCAGCUAUACAGACACAUCUAUCUGGGCUGUAAGGAGGAAGAUAAUGUGCAGAAGAACUUUGAGCUGCUUUUCACAGCUUUGGCAUUGAUCACUAUUGAACUUGCCAAUGAGGAGGUGGUGAUUGAUCUCAUACGCCUGUCCAUCGCCCUGCAGGAUAUGGCCCUGGCCAAUGAGGAGAACAUGCCAAUGUUUAUUCGCUGUGGAAUCAUGGCAUUGAUUGCCGCAUACCUCAACUUCCUCAGUCAGAUGAUUGCAAAUCCCCCUUUCUGCCAACACGUCAGCAAGGUGAUUGAGAUGAGAAAUCUAGAUGCUCCGCACCUUUUGCCUGAACACGUCUUCAGAGAGAAGUACCGGGACGACGUUGGUUUGUAUUUUCAGACGGCUGAUCUGGCAGAAGCUCUGUCUGUACCUGGAUAUAACGUAGAGAGACUAGCUGUUCCGUACAUACCGCAGGUUACAGAUGAAGAUCGACUGCCCCGUAGGAAGAGUUUUGUCGACACUAUUUCUCUCCAAGUUGACAUCCUUUCCAACAGCUUGCCUGAUCAGUCUCAGCUUGCAGAGGAGAUCACGUUUGAGACCCUGAAGAAGGCCAUCGAUACCACAGGUCUGGAGGAACAGGAGAGGGAGAGGAGACGGCAGGUGAUGGAGAAGUUCCAGAAGGCUCCGUUUGAAGAGAUUGCCGCCCACUGCGAGUCCAAGGCCAACAUGCUGCACGAUCGCUUGGCUCAGAUAUUUGAACUCACCAUUCGCCCUCCCCCGAGCCCAUCGGGCACCGUGACGGUGACGUCAGGCCACGCCCAAUACCAGUCUGUGCCAGUCUACGAAAUGAAGUUCCCUGACCUCUGCGUGUACUGAACCACGGCCUUUCACCUUAACUCUAUCACACAGACUCAACCUUGACAUGUGACCACUGACCUUUAUCACACUUUAUGUGUGUAAACUCACCUGAGCCACUCAUCUUCAUUAGACAUCUUUCACUAUGAACGUCACUUACAUUCAUGUCCAGCAGAAAGAAGGGGUGCAGACUGGACGGCCACUUCAUGCCUCUAUUCUACACCAGUCAGCACACAGAGCUUUACGACCAGCUGUCCAGUCAUACACCAGCUCUGUAGAAUCAUGUGAAUCGUAUGUGUGUGGUUUUCACUUUGAUUCUUGCACUAAACGGCAGCUCCAAGAAUCAAACUGAGUCUUUUAAACACUUGAUUCUUCAGCUUCUUAAUCUAUUGAUUCAAAGGAGUCAUUUAGAAAAUGACUCACUCUGGAUUUAUUAAGGGAACUUAAUUGCUAGCAUUAGCUUAAGUGCUAGUUUAUGUUCAUUAACUCUCAUUUCUAAACCAUCAUCAGCAGAGAGAUUUGAACAUACGAUAGAUUUCUGCUCGCUUAAAUCUCUCCUAUAUAAAUAAUUAUAGUGUACAGUAUCGCACAGUAUAGUAUAGGCUAUUUUUGACAAAUAUAUAUAUAUAUACUUUUAGAUGAAAUGAUUGCUGAUAGUUGCAGAGUGUUAUUUGUAUUCUGUUUGCAUGGCUUAGCCAAUGUUUCAUUGCAAACGUUUGUGAGUUUAGGCCUUUAUUAAUCUACAAUUAGCCUUUAACUUCAAUGUUGUGGAUGUCAACGGGGCUUUUGUUCACCCAGAGUUCUUAGUGAUCACUAUGCUCUCCAUUUUGCCUUCACUGUAUAGAGAAACCAAAUCAUUUGCUUUUCAUCACCAAAGAGCUACGCACUUCCUUUAUGGCCACACACGGCUGCCAAUCAAAUCUUGAGCCAAUCAGAAACUGAAUUCUCUUUGAGGGCGGGAACACCACAGUGUUCUUGAACUCAAACCUCAGAACAGUUUCUAGAAACCCGGGGGCCGAAAAAUGAUGGAUUAUCAGUGAUAAAAUGAUCUGCAUUCAUCAACCAGCUGUUUUUUUUAUCGAGCCACAAGGACGUUGAAAUGCUUUUCUGCUUUUCAGGUGACUUCAUUCAUCUACCUUGGACAAAAUAAAAAUGUGUGUGACUGUUAGAUGCUGAAAUAC
rnacentral:lncRNA from 1 species